rnacentral:rRNA from 1 species
UCCGUAGGUGAACCUGCGGAAGGAUCAUUAACACUUCAUCUCAACCCGCGGGCCUGCCUUUGCCGGUGGGCCCGCGGUUCAAGCUCCCUUGUGAUACGUUAAAGUCCCUGGCCCCAUGUACUUGGGGCCAGGGGUCCAUUUUUUACCCCUUCACGCUUUUGUCUGGAAGCUGUGGCCAUGUCGCCACGACAUUGAUAACCGAAGACAACUCUUAACAACGGAUAUCUCGGUUCUCGCAACGAUGAAGAGCGCAGCGAACUGCGAUAAGUAGUGUGAAUUGCAGAAUUCAGUGAAUCAUCAAACUCUUGAACGCACAUGGCGCCCUGUGGCAACGCAGGGCACGCCUGUCUGAGCCUCGGUAUUCAACCUCACAACCACCCAACGGGCGGAUGUGGAAGUGGGGAUUGCUUCGAGCAUUCCCUCAAAUGAAGCUGCCGGGCGCAGCGGGAUAGGGCCCCAAGCCGAUCCACCGCAACCAGUUUCUGAUGGCGCAUGCCUCUAAUCCUGGUGCUGGCUCGUUCUCUUGGCCGCCUCCCGCCGCCCACCCGGUACGACGCGGCCCGCGAGGGGGGGCACCCGUUC